CUAGGGACCAAGUAUUCAAGCAUAUGAGCCUAUGGGGCCAUGUUCUCAUUCAAACUGUCAUGAGAAUACAAAGUCGAUUCAUCACGAUGAAAGAACCCGCCUGACACCUUCUUUUCAGACCCUCAUCCCCAAAUGCAAGUAGAAUUGAGUUUUUCUUCCCUCAUGGUUUUCAGAUCUAUCUAAUGGACUUAAAACUGGAUCUGAGAGACAUGGAGAUUCUAGCUCUUACUGGCAAGUCUAGUAGCAAUUCUACCCCCUACCUCCAGUUAGAGGAGCUACAGCAGCCAGUCUGAAGAACAGCAGAAUGCCUCUCAAGGUCUACAUAAAGGUGAGCCAACAAUACAGGCUGUGCUCUCAAACCUCCCAGACUUUUGGUGCUCUUUGGCAGCCCCAAGCAUCCAGGCCCUAUACCUGCUGAUGUCUCUCAAUGCCUCUUGGUAUAUGGGCCUUUGGCCUUAUAUCACCUGAAUGUUAACUCAGGAUUCAGAGAAGGGUUCUUCUAUAUAGACCAGCUCUGCCCCAAGUGUGGCAUCCAUCUCUGCUGUUCCUGGCCUUCACCACUUUGCCUCUAAGUCAUCAACGUUCAGCCAUCUUAUGUCCAUGAUCUGCUGGCCCCUAUAGGUGAGAGGCUUCGCCUUCCAAGGUGACUCAGAAUAGUAUAGUAAAGCUGUUACUUCUCUUCCUGGGUGUCUCUGAUUUAUAAUAUAAGGCUCUAAGAACUCUGGGGAUGACAUGGAACAAGUCUAAGAGGAAGGCUAAGGUGAGUGGGGUAGAAAAAGCUCUGACAUCUAGCCUUGAAGCCACACCACACUGAUCAGUGUUGAGAGCUUUUGGUGCCACUUCUAGGGAUAUGACAUUUGUCACUGGGAUGGGACAAGGAUGUAGGCUGAGAUAAGAGUAUUAGAAGCAGUGACCAUGGGGCUUCGUUUACUGCGUUGCCGAAUUGCUACCUUAUGCAAUCUCGUUGCUUCCUCCUUAAUUAUUACCCUGUGUGAUCCUUUUCCUUACUACUUUGCUUGAUUACUUUCUUGUGUGAUCUCCUUGUUUCCUACUUCACUUGAUCACUCUGUCUUGAUCUAAGAACUGACCGUGUGUAUUGGAUGUACCCAGAAGGGUAUAAAAGCAGGCUGGAGAGACAUAAAGCUGCUUCAGCCACUCAGCACUGGCUGGAGUCAUGUUUGUCUAAUUGCCUUUGUCCUUUUAAUCUUCACUCCCUCCCUUGGACCCUGUUGACUGAGCUGGCUUGGUCAGAUGGGUCAUGAACUAAGGCCCGCUUUGGGCUAACCGACCUGGGUUCUUAUCCUGAUGCAGGCCAGGGAUCUCCCUCCCUCCUCCAUCAACAGCAAUGCUACACCAUGCAAUUCUAGGAGGUGCUAUGCAGUGCUAGUCUAAAUGAAUUGCACAGCCUUGCAUGUUUGCAUGCUGCCCACUUUCCAAGGAAGGUGCUUCUGGAAGCCUCCAUCAGACGCUCACUCCAUAUGCCUGACUUUUGUGGUGUUUAGCCUCCCUGCCUCCCUCACAUCCCAGACACGUGAACCACAUGUUUUCUUAAUUGAGGUUGAUUGGGGUAGGUGAGGAUAUGUCUUUUGCUAGACUAUAAGUACCCUGGGAAUGACUAAGCUGAGGGGGACGAGAGGGUAGCAAGGCCCUUAAAGGGGACCAGCAACAGCAAGCAGUACUGGAGAACUUGUCUCUCUGUGCCACAGCAUCUCAUCCCUCUUGAAUGGGGCACCCUGGUGGUGGGGCCCAACAGGUGUUUUAGCAGGUCACCAGGCAACUUAGAUACACAUGAAGUUUGAAAAGCACCCAGCUCCGGAUACCUCAGGGUGUCCUUGUUAUUGCUUCUGAAUGACCAGUUUUCAUUCAACCAAUUUUGGCUGCCCACCUGGGACACCCCCUAUUGCACCUUGGUUUUAGGGGGUCAUCAGGAGCAGCACAGAAAGCUCACGUCAGGGCUGCAGGCAAACAGAGUAGCCAGGCAGCUGUAGCCUCCUCCAAGAGCAGCCUCUCCCUGGUCCUGCUAACUGGGUGGUUAAAUUAUUCAGCAACCAAUUACAGCUUAACAAUGUCCCUGUCUCCCAGCCCAGUGAUUCUCCUGGCUGCCGCCAGCCAUGGCAAACGAUUUCCAACACAAAACAGAGUAUGUUCAGGAAUUUAGCACCAGGGAGGGCCCCCACUAGGCACCCCCCAUGCUUUAUCACAGCCUGCCCACAUAACACCCCCUAUCCUAUCCCCUGAGGCAGAUAUGGGUGGAUGAAUGGGUCAGCCUCCAGACCAUCAGGAACGAACUGGGAAUCCAAACGCUGAACGGGCCUCCAUGGCUAAUCCUAACACUGAACAAUCGGAGGAGAACCAACCGAUGCCCUCCCACUUUAUCCCACGGAUGGGGAAACUGAGGCUGCUGGGUGACUUGACUCCCGCCACACCUACGGCCUACGUCUUUUGACAGUUCUUAACACACGGGACCCCACCAUAGACAUCUAAGUUCAAACAGCCAGCCCUGGAAGAGAUGGGAGACAGGGACAAGUCUUGGUCAAGAACCUUACUCCACCUCUUCACGCGCCAUGCAGGACAUGUGAGAACAUGGCGUUAGGGUGAACAAAUACCCAGGCAGGUUUAUCCUCUUCAGCACAUGUGCUGAGAGGAAAUCUAUCAGUAACCAGAAACCCACUGCCAGGUGGUUCCAAAGGGCAGAGAGAACAUGUUCUGAUGGAAGCAGCCCCCACAGGGAAGACCUCCCCCACACCGUGGGAGGAGAGUUGGGGUGGAGCAGAAGGUGUUACAAAUGCAAGAGUCACCCUUUUGGUUUUGCUCAGAGGCCCCUGGGAGGAAGGGGGCUGGAAAUGGAAUAAGUGUUCUCAGUUUUCCUCCUGUCUCUCAGAAGCCUUUACAUGGAAUUAAAGAAGGUGACAGUAAAAACGAGGCCAAGAAGAACACCAAGGAGAAAAGACUGUGCUCACUCAGACUGUGGGGGCUCAGAAGGCAGGGGGCCCUCUCCAAGUGCUCAGAUAGUGUGGGGACAGGUGGCCUUCCCCAAAGGCACAGACGGGACCAUCAGGCUCCACAAGGACCACAGAGGCAUUCAGACCUGGCCUCGCCCAUCCUGACCAGCCCUUCCUGCCUCCCAGAACCAGCCAGCUUGGCUAGUAACAUACUCUGGGUAUCUUGGGCCUGAGGCAAUACAAGUUCAUUUUGGGUCACCAUGUGUGUGUGUGUCUACUACACUUGUAGAGAAACUAUCAAGUCACCAUGCGUGCCUCCUGUUCGCACCGUCUUUCCUCUGAUCUACCCUAAGCUGAUGUCACAGAAUAAGGGAGUCUGAGAUGCACCAUGCAUCCUCCGGGUUUACAGCCGGUGCCCAGGCCCAUCGGGGCAGGCUAUGCUGUGCUACUGUAACAGUAAACGUGUCCAGGAGCUCGGAAACUGAAUGGUUCUAUGGCUCUACGCGGUUACAUGUGGGGCUUGUUUCUGAAGUCAUAAAAACACUUGAAAUUAGACAGUGGUAAUAGUGGGCUCAGCCACACGAAUGCACUGAGUCCUUGAAAGGCGUGGACUUUGUCUCCUCGGUAAGGAACACAUCAGAUCCAUCUUUCCCUCCACAGCUGCAGACACACAGGGACACUGCCUGGCACCAACCCAGUGCAGGGACACCAUCUAGAACCCUGCUGACUGUCCUGUGAGCUCUGGAGGAGAGAUGUGCCUUCCUGGAAGAGAAACUCCCACUCAGGACUCGGGAGAACCAGCCCAGUGCUCCACUCCAUAACGACAGGUACAGGUAGGGAGGUCCUGCCAAAGCCUGACAGCCUGGGGGCUGAUGACCUCUCCAAGGACGUCCAGCCGCAGGCACACACCCCAGACACCCAGAACUGAAAUCUGAGGGCUCACCUUUGCUUGUCCCUUCCCUUCCCCAUCCACAACAAGCCAGACAUCCUCUUCUUUGUCACUUCCACAUCAGGGGAGAAAAGCAUCCAGGGAAGACUUAGAGCCAAGAUGCCAUGAAGACCAGAAAAUCAAAGGACAGUUUUCAAAGAGAACAACAGAGGCCAUCACGAUAACAGGUGAGGUUAUAAUCCUGUACCGUAGGCCGCACGGGACACGGGGCAGUUUGACAGGGGUAAGGGCGGUUACACCGUUACACGUGACAGUCAGCAGGUGCUUUCCUAUCACUGAGCAACCUGAGAAGCAAGGAACGGCCCACCCGCCUCCUCACAGAGGGGAGAAUGAGACUGAUUGGAGAGCAAUACUGUGCAGCUGCAUUUGGUAAACUCCAGCCCUGCCUCAAGCAUCGAAGAUUCCCAGAAACUCAAUUCUCACCCAAGUUGGAAACGUAAGGAAGAAGAAAGGAGAGCCAUCUGUUUCUGCAUUGGAUACAAAAGAGUCUUCAGCAAAGAAAGCAACCAGGAGGAAGGGGCUUUCCAGGCUUGUCUGGCCACUCAGUUACUUGAAAGGAAGACCUUCAGAAAACUCCAGCUUCCCCCCAUGACUCAGAAAUGCUUGGCUAAUUAUCGUUUGGGGGCAUGAUGUCUGAGGAGGAAAGGCCCCUGGCUGCCUGAAGUCUGCCCAAGGCCAGGCCCCAUUGCUGGAAGCAGGGCUGUCAGUCAGCUGAUGACAUUCUGAGUUCCACCAACAGUGUCAGGGCCCAGGAGAGAAGCUUCCUGCUGGGACUGGGCAGCAGGGCUCAAAACCCACACCCCGGAGGCUGUCAGUCUGCAGCUGGGAUGGACAGCCCCUCUUAGCUUCUCUCCCAGCUUUCGUCGUCAUAAGACCUGUCCAGCCAGGUGGCCAGGCUCUGAAAGGGUGGCUGUCACUCCACUAACGCCCUGGGCUUUGCCUCAGGGAAGAGAGCCUGCUCAUCAAUUACAGAAUAAAUGACACCUCCUCCACUCACUGCCUCUCACCCAGUUCCCCACCGUAUAGACCUCCUUACCUUGGUGAAUAGAAGCAUGAAGAAGGAGGCUUUUAUCAGGUACCAACACCUUUCUACACCCAGGAAUGUGGUCUACACAUUCCCAGAAUCUUGAGGGAAAGGUCCAGGCAGAAUCUAGACACUGACCAGGCCUGAGACCAAGUGCUCGGAGACCCAUUCUGGAUCCCCACGCAGGUUAGAGCUACCUAGGGAAAGCGCGCCCCAUCAGAGCAAACCAUAAAGCUCUGACUUUGUUCUUUGCUCACACUGCACCCAUUUAGUAAAGUCUAUUCCGGGUUUGGGGAUGAAGACAUGGCUCCUCCAGGACCCACCUCUGUUCUGAGCGCUCACUCAGGCGCUCACAACCACUUGCAACUCCAGUUUCAGGAGGACCUAAGGCCUCUGAGGGCACC
rnacentral:sRNA from 1 species